AUUGAACGCUGGCGGCAGGCCUAACACAUGCAAGUCGAGCGGAUGAAGGGAGCUUGCUCCUGGAUUCAGCGGCGGACGGGUGAGUAAUGCCUAGGAAUCUGCCUGGUAGUGGGGGAUAACGUCCGGAAACGGGCGCUAAUACCGCAUACGUCCUGAGGGAGAAAGUGGGGGAUCUUCGGACCUCACGCUAUCAGAUGAGCCUAGGUCGGAUUAGCUAGUUGGUGGGGUAAAGGCCUACCAAGGCGACGAUCCGUAACUGGUCUGAGAGGAUGAUCAGUCACACUGGAACUGAGACACGGUCCAGACUCCUACGGGAGGCAGCAGUGGGGAAUAUUGGACAAAGGGCGAAAGCCUGAUCCAGCCAUGCCGCGUGUGUGAAGAAGGUCCUCGGAUUGUAAAGCACUUUAAGUUGGGAGGAAGGGCAGUAAGUUAAUACCUUGCUGUUUUGACGUUACCAACAGAAUAAGCACCGGCUAACUUCGUG
rnacentral:rRNA from 1 species